rnacentral:lncRNA from 1 species
GGCCUGCUGGAGCAGUGAUCAUGGGAGAUCAGGUUUGCAUUCUGAGAACAGACUUGCUCGAAGCUGCUGGAGACGCAGUGCAGGAGAGUAGCCAGGAACGUAAUGAGAGGAGGUGGAAAUGCUGGCUGAAGAACCAGAGGGAGCAUCUUUAUUCUUCAAGUGUCACGAAGUCUGAAAAUCCCACCUGGAGGCAGCCAGGCUGCAUGAUCCGGUGGAAAGGCCGUGGGGACUGCGUGCUGGCUGCUCUUCCUGGAAGAGAAAAGGAGAAGAAUAAUGAAAAUUUUCCCAUUAACAGAGGCUGGGCACCCUGCAGAGGGACAUGGCUCUGGACGGAAGGGGAUGUGAGGGAGAACAUCUCCUUCCCCUGCGUUUCCCAUUGCUUGCACUCCUCAGCCCAUAAACAAGCAGAAGGAACUGUUUUCCUGAUGAUCUCGAUUAUUACAUAUUUCUGGAGAAAAAUAAAUAUAAUUUCUUGGUAGAAGGAGGCAGGGCGGCUCCGCAUUAACCCUUCUGCAUCCCUUUCCCCUUCCCCACAGGGGCUGCAUGGUCAGAAAACAUUCUGGUACAUCGCAGCUUCUUCUUUGUCCCUUGUUGAGCAGUUUUGGUGGCCCUGCUGUUGUGUGCCCACAGGUACGUGCCAGCCCAUGGGAGCAUUUUUUAAACACUUAGAACCCCUGUGUCUCAAGUGACACUAGACCUCUGUGUUUGUACAGCAAAAUCUAGAAUCUAAAGAGAUUGGAAUUAGCACACAUGGAGGCAUGGGGUGAUCUGCAUGUAGAUUCAGUGGGUAAGCUGAAUAACAUCAGCGUCAGUAUAAGGAGAGAGAAAAGAUUACAGAAUCAUAGAAUCGUGAAGGAAAAGACCUCCAAGAACAUCGAGUCCAGCUGCCAACUCAUCCCCACUAUGCCCACUCACAGAGUCAUCAUAUUCUGUUCUUUCCAUCUCUGCACAGAAUCAUAGAAUCACAGAAUCAUGAAAGUCGGAAAAUACCUCUAAGGUCACCAAGUCCAAUGGUCAACCCAUCCCAGCCUACUCAAAAGAGUCAUUAAGGUUGAAAUAGACCUCCAAAAUCAUCAAGUCCAAUUGUCGACCCAUUCCCAUCAUGUCCCAGUUAUAGAAUCAUAGAAUCACAGAAUCAUUAAGGUUGGAAAAGAACUCUAAGCUCACCAAGUCCAACCCCAACCCAUCCCCCCCAUCCCCACCAUGACCACUAACCAUGACCCUCAGUGCCACAUCUGUAUGUUUCUCAAAUGGAGAUGCUUGUAGCUUGGAAAUGACUGUGGGCCUCACCAGUCACUGUCUCCUACAGACAGCUCCAAGGAGUGGGAUGGAAUGGUGGAGACCACUGAGGGAAACAGGUUUUGUUGGGAGAUGCUCUCUGCAGCUGACACUAUGCUUGAGUUGCCAUAGACCCUGGUCUUUUUUCAGCUGCUCCUCCUUUCUUCCCAGAAUGUCUUCUGCAAUCCCUCCCUUGGGUAUGGGGAAUCCUGGUGAUUGUGCAGAUGUGUUUUCAGGGAACGGCGUUGGCACGCUAAGCUGUUAACUGCAACUUUUCUCCUGGAAACAAUAAAGUCGUCAUUUCCUCUGGCCCUGCCUGUCGUUACAAUCAUGGUCCCAGAGCAACACAUCUCAUGUGCCAAGAUGCCUUCAGCAUCACUGAAGGACAAAGGCCUGUUCAGGAUCAUUUACAUGCAAUGCAAAGGAUCAGGAAUAUCAGGCUCUUCCCACCUCUACUUAGAAUCAUAGAAUAGAAUCAUUAAUGUUGGAAAAGACUUCUAAGAUCACCAAAUCCAAUGAUGGUCAACCCAUCCCCACCAUGCCCACUUAUAGAAUCAUUAAGGUUGGAAGAGACCCUCAAAGUCAUCAAGUUCAAUAGUCAACCCCCCCCCAUCAUACUUCAGUCAUAGCAUCAUGGAAUCACAGAAUCAUAAAGGUCAGAAAAAGCCUCUAAGCUCACCAAGUCCCACCCCAACCCAUACCCACCAUGCCCACUAACCAUGCCCUUCAGUGCCAUGACUGCAUAGUCUUCCUUGGUUUCCUCUUGACUGGCAAAGAUGAGAAGCUUUUUGGAAAGGGGCCUAUCAGGGGUCUAUUUUGCCUCAAAUUCUGGCUUAUUUGGUCUUUAAUCUAAGGUAGAACUUCUGCAUCUCCUUGCUCUGGAGCUUGGCACAGCUCCUGUGUGGAUUCAGGAGUUGGGCUUGGUGAUCCAAGGCGUUUCUCAACACCUCCACCCAGACCAAUGCCAGCAUCCCCAUCCCAGACCCAUAUGGAGGCACAGGAGGGGACUCAUCCAGCUGGGGACAAACAGGGAAGACCUUUUUCCUUAACCUGCUUCUCUGGAGGCCCUCUGAAAGCAACAAGACACAACAGCAGAUAAGGAGUGCUGUCCUUGUGUGCCAUGGCCUGUUCCUCUCCACCUCGCCUCCCUCCCCUUGGUCUCUGUGGGAUUUCUGCUGCACUUCUCUCUCCGCUCCACCCCUGGAGGUACAGAUGCUGUCUUGGUGCUAUCAAUGCCCUUCACAUGUGCCCUCCUCCUUUCCAUCCACGUCCCUGCGCUUUCUCCAGGGUUGCCUGAUGGAAAAUCUAUCCGCAAAUAUUUGCAAGCAUCUAUCUAUAUGAGUGCCAUUUGGAUACAUCCAGCCUCCCAUUGUGGAACAGCUUUGUUUAACAGCACACUAACAUCCAGAAGGUUUCAACAGCGAGUUGAGCUAGGGAAUAGAUUUAUAUUUUUCCCUCUAAAGUUUGCUCAGAAAAAGUUAUAAUGGUGUGCAGGGCUUGGAACCAUCUCCGCUUCAGGUCUCCUUAGCAAAUGACAUUUUAACUAGAAAAGCGAGGUGAGAGGGAUUAAAAUGUUAUGACAGCCUUUAUCAGCGCUGUCUGAAAGCACUUCUGUCCUUCAGCGCCCUGAAAGCAACAGAUUAGGGCGAAGCUGGGAUAUAUUCUCAAUGACGCAGUGUCAGUUCUUAUCAGAUCUGGGAGAUAAAGGACGUUGUUUGGGCUGCAGUAAUUUCAGAGCCUUCACCAACAACUCCUGCACGAGUUCGUGAUAAGUACAUUAAGCCCAAAAGAUGAAUUUCAUAUUUCAUGAGUAAUCAUUACUCAACCUGUCGCUAAACACGGAAGAGACUUCUUGAUUUGUUCUGCUCUGUUUGCCCAGGACCUUCAAAAAGCACAAUGGGAAGAACAGAGCGCUCAGAAAUAAGGAGGGAAAUGCGUUCAAUUCAGCAAUACAGGGAUGCUGAUCGAUGGCUCAGGGUGCAGGGAGUCAUUUGUUCUCUGCACAGCACAGAAAGAGGAUUAUGGUGAAUGUCAAUUCCAUUUACAGGAGUGAUGGGACCUUACAUUCUGAUAAGGAAGAUCCAAAUUCUUGGCCAAAACAUAGAAUAAUGGAAUGAUGGAACGCUUUGGGUUGGAAGAGAUCUAGGAGAUCAUCCAGUUCCAACCCCCUGCUGCAGGCUCCCAUAGCCCAGGUCGCUCACUGUCCCAUCCAGCCUAAAGCCAUUUCCCCUAUUCCUGUCCCACUAAGCCCUUAUAAAAAAUCCCUCCCCAGCUUUUCUGUAGGUCCCCUUCACGUCCUGGAAGGCUGCUAUAAGGGCCGCCAGGAGCCUGCUCCAUUCCUGCAUUCCACUCCUGACAGCCAUCCCAUCACAUCCCAGUGAUGCCAGUGACAUCAGAGCCCUGGAGGCACACACACACCUGCCACACUUGUUGCUCCAUCCCCAAGCUCUGUGCGUUAUGAGCAGGCAUUUGAGCUGGGCUCCCAUUGAGGCACAUUUACCUACUGCAGUUCUCUUAUCCUGCACCUUUGGUGCUGGCUCACUGCCCUGGGAUCCAGCUCAGGCCCACAGCAUCCAUUACCAUCAGCAGCCUCAAAGCGGGAUGGACUGAGGAUCCCCUCCCUGGCUACUUAAAUUAAAGCCCCCCGAUUAAAUUGGAAAGCUGGAUGCCAAAGAUGGCCUUCCUCUUCUCACAGACCGGGCUGUGAACUGCAUGCUGACAUGGGCAAAGCACCAUCAGACAUUUAGGGAUGAACAACUGAUCAUUUAUUACACGGACGGCGGAAGGCAGCAGCCCCAUGGCAGGCAGCACCAGCCCUGCUAUGGCACGGCCACGUUGCCAGGGGCAGCCACCAGCUCCAGGAAGCAGCCUGCAGCUGGCACAGCCAUGUCACAAGAGCACAAGAGUGGGGGGGCUGCGUUCCAGAGCCAGCUGGGUGUCACAGCAGCCCGG